GACGAACGCUGGCGGCGUGCCUAAUACAUGCAAGUAGAACGCUGAAGGAGGAGCUUGCUUCUCUGGAUGAGUUGCGAACGGGUGAGUAACGCGUAGGUAACCUGCCUGGUAGCGGGGGAUAACUAUUGGAAACGAUAGCUAAUACCGCAUAAUAGCAGUUAUUGCAUGAUAACUGUUUGAAAGGUGCAAUUGCACCACUACCAGAUGGACCUGCGUUGUAUUAGCUAGUUGGUGGGGUAACGGCUCACCAAGGCGACGAUACAUAGCCGACCUGAGAGGGUGAUCGGCCACACUGGGACUGAGACACGGCCCAGAAUCCUACGGGAGGCAGCAGUAGGGAAUCUUCGGCAAUGGACGGAAGUCUGACCGAGCAACGCCGCGGGAGUGAAGAAGGUUUUCGGAUCGUAAAGCUCUGUUGUAAGAGAAGAACGAGUGUGAGAGUGGAAAGUUCACACUGUGACGGUAUCUUACCAGAAAGGGACGGCUAACUACGUG
rnacentral:rRNA from 1 species